rnacentral:rRNA from 1 species
GAUGAACGCUGGCGGCGUGCCUAAUACAUGCAAGUCGAGCGAACAGACGAGGAGCUUGCUCCUCUGACGUUAGCGGCGGACGGGUGAGUACCACGUGGAUAACCUACCUAUAAUACUGGGAUAACUUCGGGAAACCGGAGCUAAUACCGGAUAAUAUAUUGAACCGCAUGGUUCAAUAGUGAAAGACGGUUUUGCUGUCACUUAUAGAUGGAUCCGCGCCGCAUUAGCUAGUUGGUAAGGUAACGGCUUACCAAGGCAACGAUGCGUAGCCGACCUGAUAGGGUGAUCGGCCACACUGGAACUGAGACACGGUCCAGACGCCUACGGGAGGCAGCAGUAGAGAAUCUUCCGCAAUGGGCGAAAGCUUGACGGAGCAACGCCGCGUGAGUGAUGAAGGUCUUCGGAUCGUAAAACUCUGUUAUUAGGGAAGAACAAAUGUGUAAGUAACUAUGCACGUCUUGACGGUACCUAAUCAGAAAGCCACGGCUAACUACGUG